CCGCCCGUAGCUCAGCUGGAUAGAGCGGCCCCCUCCUAAGGGGCAGGUCGGACGUUCAAAUCGUCUCGGGCGGACCA
rnacentral:tRNA from 1 species